GUGCUCACUUCUGCAGCCUGUAUGCUAAAAUUGGAAUGAUACAGAGAAAAUUAGCAUGGCCCCUGUGCUAGGAUGACACACAAAUUAAUGGAACAUUCCAUAGUUUU